UACGAGGGGGGCAAGCGUUGUUCGGAAUUAUUGGGCGUAAAGGGCGCGUAGGCGGUGCGGUAAGUCUGAUGUGAAAUCUCCGGGCUUAACUCGGAGCCUGCAGGCGAAACUGUGGUGCUGGAGUGUGGGAGAGGUGCGUGGAAUUCCCGGUGUAGCGGUGAAAUGCGUAGAUAUCAGGAGGAACACCUGUGGCGAAAGCGGCUCACUGGACCAUAACUGACGCUGAUGCACGAAAGCUAGGGGAGCAAACAGG
rnacentral:rRNA from 1 species